UUUCAGAACCAAAUAAAUUGAAAAUUCCGAGGGGUUCUAGUGGAUCAAACAAUGAAGGAUUUGAAGCCGCGUCGAGGGCGCAGGAAACGAGAUCCAUCUUGCAAUCUUUUUGAAAAAAUGGAAACGGAACACUGCGGCCCGUUGUCAAGUCACCUGCCAGCUCAGCCACAUCGGCUCCCGCCAUGGACCGAGCACUCCGGUUGCUCCGACUGUCGUCUCAACUCAUUCUAUUGUCGCCACUGCUGCCGCUGUUGCUCUGCUGCUUGCUGCUGUUGAUACGGCACGAAAUGUGUAUAGAAAAUUUGGAACAAAUUGUAUAGUAACUAUUUCAAUUGAGGGUCCUUAUCGCGUGAUGCAGUGUUUACGAUCUCAGAAACCAACAAAUUGGAAGUGACAUCACAAAUCGAGACAUUUUGAAGUAAUAUAGGCCGGAGGGCAGCAGGGCAGAGGGAUCUACUGAAAGUUAUCAAGUGUAAAAUAAAAUGAUAGUUCAUGUCUCGAAAUGAGAAUUGUUUCUUUGAUGCGCAUCAAUUGGCACUGUUUGCACACUGAAUUUUAGUGAACCAGAAUAGCUCGAAACAUCACGUCAAAUGUACUGACUAGGUCGUAAUUUUUCAAUGUACCUAAUUUUUAUAAAACAUCAUAUGCAGACUUGAUGUUUACUUUGAUAAGUUUCCUGUCUAUAGGUCUAGGGUGCAUCACUUCAAAAAAGAUGAAAAACACAGCCUAUCAGGAAUGGACUGAUUGUAUGGUCGUUAAGAGUGAAAUCUUAAAAAAAAUGUAUUAGGAAGAUUAAAAAUGAAGUGACGUACUCUAGAUAUUCUGAUUUUGAUCUUAUAGUUCAACUUGUAUGUUCCAAUCGUGUAUCGUUUGGAUGUUAAGUAGAUUGUUAAUUUUUGCCAACCGAUUAGGUAUCGGUAUUACCAACCUGGUCCAUAUCAAAGCCCUUUAACUCAUGUAAUCACGGCGGCGAGAAAACUAAUUUUUGUUGCAGUAUGUUAAGAUAGAUUCCCUUUCUUAGAUAAAGGUGAUAUCAAUG